rnacentral:rRNA from 1 species
GCCAGACUCCUACGGGAGGCAGCAGUGGGGAAUAUUGCACAAUGGGGGAAACCCUGAUGCAGCGACGCCGCGUGAGUGAAGAAGUAAUUCGUUAUGUAAAGCUCUAUCAGCAGGGAAGAAAAUGACGGUACCUGAGUAAGAAGCCCCGGCUAACUACGUGCCAGCAGCCGCGGUAAUACGUAGGGGGCAAGCGUUAUCCGGAUUUACUGGGUGUAAAGGGAGCGUAGACGGCAGUGCAAGUCUGGAGUGAAAGGCGGGGGCUCAACCCCCGGACUGCUCUGGAAACUGUACGGCUGGAGUGCAGUAGAGGAAAGUGGAAUUCCUAGUGUAGCGGUGGAAUGCGUAGAUAUUAGGAGGAACAUCAGUGGCGAAGGCGACUUUCUGGACUGUAACUGACGCUGAGGCACGAAAGUGUGGGGAGCAAACAGGAUUAGAUACCCGUGUAAA